rnacentral:rRNA from 1 species
GAUGAACGCUAGCGGGAGGCCUAACACAUGCAAGCCGAGCGGUAUUGUUUCUUCGGAAAUGAGAGAGCGGCGUACGGGUGCGGAACACGUGUGCAACCUGCCUUUAUCUGGGGGAUAGCCUUUCGAAAGGAAGAUUAAUACUCCAUAACAUAUUGAUUGGCAUCAAUUAAUAUUGAAAGCUCCGGCGGAUAGAGAUGGGCACGCGCAAGAUUAGCUAGUUGGUGAGGUAACGGCUCACCAAGGCGAUGAUCUUUAGGGGGCCUGAGAGGGUGAUCCCCCACACUGGUACUGAGACACGGACCAGACUCCUACGGGAGGCAGCAGUGAGGAAUAUUGGUCAAUGGGUGCGAGCCUGAACCAGCCAUCCCGCGUGAAGGACGACUGCCCUAUGGGUUGUAAACUUCUUUUGUAUAGGGAUAAACCUACCCUCGUGAGGGUAGCUGAAGGUACUAUACGAAUAAGCACCGGCUAACUCCGUGCCAGCAGCCGCGGUAAUACGGAGGGUGCAAGCGUUAUCCGGAUUUAUUGGGUUUAAAGGGUCCGUAGGCGGACUUAUAAGUCAGUGGUGAAAGCCUGUCGCUUAACGAUAGAACUGCCAUUGAUACUGUAAGUCUUGAGUAUAUUUGAGGUAGCUGGAAUAAGUAGUGUAGCGGUGAAAUGCAUAGAUAUUACUUAGAACACCAAUUGCGAAGGCAGGUUACCAAGAUAUAACUGACGCUGAGGGACGAAAGCGUGGGGAGCGAACAGGAUUAGAUACCCUGGUAGUCCACGCCGUAAACGAUGCUAACUCGUUUUUGGGCUUUAGGGUUCAGAGACCAAGCGAAAGUGAUAAGUUAGCCACCUGGGGAGUACGCUCGCGAGAGUGAAACUCAAAGGAACUGACGGGGGCCCGCACAAGCGGUGGAUUAUGUGGUUUAAUUCGAUGAUACGCGAGGAACCUUACCAAGACUUAAAUGGGAAUUGACAGCUUUAGAAAUAGAGCUUUCUUCGGACAAUUUUCAAGGUGCUGCAUGGUUGUCGUCAGCUCGUGCCGUGAGGUGUUAGGUUAAGUCCUGCAACGAGCGCAACCCCUGUCACUAGUUGCCAUCAUUCAGUUGGGGACUCUAGUGAGACUGCCUACGCAAGUAGAGAGGAAGGUGGGGAUGACGUCAAAUCAUCACGGCCCUUACGUCUUGGGCCACACACGUAAUACAAUGGCCGGUACAGAGGGCAGCUACACAGCGAUGUGAUGCAAAUCUCGAAAGCCGGUCUCAGUUCGGAUUGGAGUCUGCAACUCGACUCUAUGAAGCUGGAAUCGCUAGUAAUCGCGCAUCAGCCAUGGCGCGGUGAAUACGUUCCCGGGCCU